rnacentral:rRNA from 1 species
GACGAACGCUGGCGGCGUGCCUAAUACAUGCAAGUAGAACGCUGAAGGAAGGAGCUUGCUCUUUCUGGAUGAGUUGCGAACGGGUGAGUAACGCGUAGGUAACCUGCCUGGUAGCGGGGGAUAACUAUUGGAAACGAUAGCUAAUACCGCAUAAAAUUGAUUAUUGCAUGAUAGUCAAUUAAAAGGUGCAACUGCACCACUACCAGAUGGACCUGCGUUGUAUUAGCUAGUUGGUGGGGUAACGGCUCACCAAGGCGACGAUACAUAGCCGACCUGAGAGGGUGAUCGGCCACACUGGGACUGAGACACGGCCCAGACUCCUACGGGAGGAAGCAGUAGGGAAUCUUCGGCAAUGGACGGAAGUCUGACCGAGCAACGCCGCGUGAGUGAAGAAGGUUUUCGGAUCGUAAAGCUCUGUUGUAAGAGAAGAACGAGUGUGAGAGUGGAAAGUUCACACUGUGACGGUAUCUUACCAGAAAGGGACGGCUAACUACGUG